rnacentral:misc_RNA from 1 species
GAUGAAGAACGCAGUGAAAUGCGAUAAGUAGUGUGAAUUGCAGAAUUCAGUGAAUCAUCGAAUCUUUGAACGCACAUUGCGCCCCUUGGUAUUCCAUGGGGCAUGCCUGUUCGAGCGUCAUUUGUACCUUCAAGCUUUGCUUGGUGUUGGGUGUUUGUCCCGAGGGACUCGCCUUAAAGUAAUUGGCAGCCAGUGUUUGGUUUUGAAGCGCAGCACAAGUCGCGAUUCAAGGCUACACGCCCGCUUCCACAAGCCUUUUUUCACUUUUGACCUCGGAUCAGGUAGGGUUACCCGCUGAACUUAAGCAUAUCAAUAAGCGGAGGA